rnacentral:tRNA from 1 species
GCCGAAGUGGUGGAAUUUGGUAGACACGCUAUCUUGAGGGGGUAGUGUCCAACAGGACGUGCGGGUUCAAAUCCCGCCUUCGGCA